rnacentral:rRNA from 1 species
CCUACGGGAGGCAGCAGUGGGGAAUAUUGCACAAUGGGCGAAAGCCUGAUGCAGCGACGCCGCGUGAGGGACGACGGCCUUCGGGUUGUAAACCUCUUUCAGCAGGGACGAAGCGCAAGUGACGGUACCUGCAGAAGAAGCACCGGCUAACUACGUGCCAGCAGCCGCGGUAAUACGUAGGGUGCAAGCGUUGUCCGGAAUUACUGGGCGUAAAGAGUUCGUAGGCGGUUUGUCACGUCGUUUGUGAAAACUCACAGCUCAACUGUGAGCCUGCAGGCGAUACGGGCAGACUUGAGUACUGCAGGGGAGACUGGAAUUCCUGGUGUAGCGGUGAAAUGCGCAGAUAUCAGGAGGAACACCGGUGGCGAAGGCGGGUCUCUGGGCAGUAACUGACGCUGAGGAACGAAAGCGUGGGUAGCAAACAGGAUUAGAUACCCUGGUAGUCCACGCCGUAAACGGUGGGCGCUAGGUGUGGGUUCCUUCCACGGAAUCCGUGCCGUAGCUAACGCAUUAAGCGCCCGCUGGGGNGCGCGCGAGACAACUAACGAAGAGUAGCGNGNGAGAGCGACGACGACGACGACGGAGGAGAG